GUUUCAGAUAUCAAAGGGUCUUAAGAAUCAGUUUUUUCUUUUCUCAUUGUAGUAUUAUGAUAUAAAAAUUGUUUACACUGCAACCGAUCCAUUUACAGUCUGGUGUUGCCAUGCAAGUUCUUCUGUUCAAUCCUUUAAAAAAUUCUCUUUCUACAGCAGCCGACAGCCCUCUCGUCAGUUUGGAGGACUCUUCACGGUUCUCUUAACAGCACAUGCCCCAAACUUGCUGCCAAAUGUUAGUCUACAGGCAUAUUUGAGUCCCAUGUAAAUAUGGAGAGAUGGAGAACACUAUGUGGGUACAUUUUUUCUGUUAUCUUUGUGCUGACUGGACCACAUUACCAUAUAUUAGCUGGACAUGGCCUAUAGCAGAGCUAGUUGCAGCAUUUCUUCUUUCCUUCACAAUAACCAGACAGUUACUAUCUGACUACAUCUUACAUGUGGUGACAUGCAUAACUCUUUGACCUCCGUAAAAGAUCCAGUUGCUAAAAUCAAACACAUUUCAGAAGAUAGUGUAAGAAAAUCUGUAUGUCUAAUAUCUUCAGCACAGUUCCAAUUUUCCUAAUGCAUGACUCCAUUUACCUUACCUAAAUAUUCACUGGUAAUUUUCCUCCAUCAUUCUCAGCUCUAUAAGCUUUUAGGGACAGCAUUUCAUUGUUUCUAGCUAUCACCUCUUUACAAUAAAAAGAUGUUAUCAGUUAAGAAGGGAGAAAUGCAGUAUGGUCUGAAGAGCACAAUUGUAGAGAACACUAUCAAACUACAAUAUAAGGCCUAUGCCAAUCCACUGCUCCUAUCUAUUUCAUAGAUUGCAAAAUGCUAAUAGUAGUAAGUGUGCAUCAGUAUAAAAAAGCAGUGAUAAUAGAGAAAAUAAAAGCCUCUCUAAUCCCUAUUAACAAUUUGGACUAAAAAGUAGGACUAAAUUCCCUGCUAAAAAAUUUGUCUAGGAAAAAAUCUAUCUGAUAUCUGCUAGUGUGACUUCUUUUAGCAUCUCAGUUUAGUUAGUUUAGUUUAGUUUAGUUUAAACUCAGUUUAGUUACUGGAGUUGAUAAGCCCUGAGUGUCACUAGGUACAUACGGGUACACUGAAUCCAUGUAAACAUGAGGGACACCACUACCCUUCAAAACCCAGUCAACUUUUAGAGAUUCUGCAAUUUCCUUAAAAAAAAAACAAUAAUAAUCUGUGAAAUCAGCUUUUAUCCAAAUUACACUUUCAAGACAGAUUGUUUGUUUGUUUGUUUGUUUACUUUUGCUCCAUACUUCUGAAACUCUCAUUGAAUAGAUCUCUUUUUGCAAACUCAAGAAAUUUGCAGUGUUUAGCUGUACUGAAUAACAUUACUUUGAAUGAUGGAAUUCCCACCUCAUGACCACUGUCCUGCAAACACUCCUGGAAAUAUGCCACUAAUGCCAAAGUUCAACCUCUGAAAGUGGGCAUUUGCAAUAGGAACCAAAAUCGUAUCAUGUCUUACAACAGCUACCACAUAACUGCAGUCACCAUGUUCCCCUAAGUUUUAUUUUGCUUCUGUCUUGAUGAGACCCACUCUCACCAGGCAUCCUGCAUCCCAGUUAGCCCUGGAUUCACCUGCAGAAGGACAUUUUUGCAAAAGCCGGCUGAAAAGUGAAGGUGUGAAAGAAAAGCUGGGAGCACAACCUGGUCCACACAGCCUGACCUGUCCACUGAACAUCUAUUGAAAAUGAUUGAUCUACUGUCCUGCAUCUGCCAAACUGCCAUUCAGUCCAGAGGGGAUUUGGAUGAAGACAAGAGAAACAUGCACCAGACACAACAAGAAUCACACUUCUGGCUCGCAUUAAAUGAGGAUUAGAAAGAAAGGAGAUUUCACCCUAUGCAGUGAACGCGAGCUCACUCCAGCUCAUGAAUCGCUGCCUACCUUCUGCACAGUGUGAACAGCCUUUGAAGCCACCAAUGUUUGCAGGUCUUUGUCUCUCAGUCCCUGCUGUCUGUGUGUCCAAGGAGCAGCAGCCUGCUGUGCUCCACAC
ensembl:lncRNA